GUCAGUGGUUGGAGGAAGCCAUGAGAGAAAAUGAUCCCAAUUCCUGUUUCAUCUUCUUGGUUGGCACCAAGACUGAUCUUCUGCCCUCAGAUGAAAGGGAGAGAACUGAAAAAGAUGCUGUCCAUAUUGCAGCAGAGAUGCAUGCUGAGUUUCAGCCAAAACAGCAGUAAUGAAGGUAGAUCUGGACCUGCAGGAACAUCAUCUGCAGCUACACUUUAUUCACCAUAACAAACUGAAAGCCAAUCUGCAGCAGCUGAGAUUCCAGGAGGUUCAACACCAAAACCUGAAGCUUCAAACUGAGCCGUCGACUGAACCAAGAUACCUUUCAAACAACUACAGUAGUUAACCUGCUCUGUUGGUAGAUGUUAUGGUGUCUCCUCAAUCUGUACAGACUGACCUUGGUCGUAUUUGAAUACACAGCUUUAUGGUGUUUUCUUUUGUUAAUUGAUUAUAGUAAAUAUUUGAACAUCCAUGUAAGUUUGAAGACAUUUCAUUGUUAACUUUAGGUAGCUGUGAAUCCACCCAUGUUAAUCUGAACCUAUUUUGUUAAAGAUUCAACAGAUUUGUUGCAAUCUUAAAUAUUUAAUCUCUCCUUUGUGUGCGGUGAAAUUAAUAUUGAAGUUAAUUCAGAAAACACUUUUGUCAUCUUCUUUCUACAGUAUAAAUUGAAUGAUGCCUCUAUUAAAAUCAUAUUUGUGACAUCAAA